rnacentral:rRNA from 1 species
AUUGAACGCUGGCGGCAUGCCUUACACAUGCAAGUCGAACGGCAGCGCGGGAGCAAUCCUGGCGGCGAGUGGCGAACGGGUGAGUAAUACAUCGGAACGUGCCCAAUCGUGGGGGAUAACGCAGCGAAAGCUGUGCUAAUACCGCAUACGAUCUACGGAUGAAAGCAGGGGAUCGCAAGACCUUGCGCGAAUGGAGCGGCCGAUGGCAGAUUAGGUAGUUGGUGAGGUAAAGGCUCACCAAGCCUUCGAUCUGUAGCUGGUCUGAGAGGACGACCAGCCACACUGGGACUGAGACACGGCCCAGACUCCUACGGGAGGCAGCAGUGGGGAAUUUUGGACAAUGGGCGAAAGCCUGAUCCAGCCAUGCCGCGUGCAGGAUGAAGACCUUCGGGUUGUAAACUGCUUUUGUACGGAACGAAACGGUCUUUUCUAAUAAAGAAGGCUAAUGACGGUACCGUAAGAAUAAGCACCGGCUAACUACGUG